rnacentral:rRNA from 1 species
CCUACGGGAGGCUGCAGUGAGGAAUAUUGGUCAAUGGGCUUACGCCUGAACCAGCCAAGUCGCGUGAGGGAAGACUGCCCUAUGGGUGGUAAACCUCUUUUGUCAGGGAGCAACGCCGGCUACGUGUAGCCGGACUGAGAGUACCUGAAGAAAAAGCAUCGGCUAACUCCGUGCCAGCAGCCGCGGUAAUACGGAAGGCCCGAGCGUUAUCCGGAUUCAUUGGGGUUAAGGGGAGCGUAGGCGGGCGUUCAAGUCAGCGGUAAAAUCGCGCGGCUCAACCGCGCCCCGCAGUUGAAACUGGAAGCCUUGAGUUCACAACAGGCAGGCGGAAUUCGUGGUGUAGCGGUGAAAUGCAUAGAUAUCACGAGGAACCCCGAUUGCGAAGGCAGCCUGCCGGGGUGCGACUGACGCUGAGGCUCGAAGGUGCGGGUAUCAAACAGGAUUAGAUACCCUUGUAGUC